CAGGACACCCUUGUCUGGAGGUGAGGAAUGAAGAGUUUUCCCACCCAACUUUUGAGGGUUGUGGCCCUGCUUAGCAGCCAGAUUCCAGAUCCACUCUCCCAACGGAUGAGGUGAAAUCAGGUCAUUUAAAAUGCUAAUCAGCCCUUGGAUUCAUUCAUCCCACUUCCAUCAACUUAUCCUUUGACCUCACAUGUAACUCAAGGGCAAGUACAUGGAAAAGAAUGUUCCUUGCACUAUAAAUGUUUGCAAUAGCAAAAGACUACAAAUACCUAAACAAAAAAUGAUGGAGAUGGAUCUAUAAGUGUUGAUGUGAAUAACCUAAAUAUAUAUAUUAGAUCCUAGGGAGGAGGCCUGCAGGGCCAGCUCCAGGGCAAGUGGAAUAUUCCUGCCCCUUCCUAAUUCUUCUGGGCCUUUCUCCACAUACUCAUGAAACAGCUAUUUCCUGAGAACUCACUCUGUGCCAGCGUCUGGUCUAGGCACUGAGGACACAGCAGUGAGCAAGCACAGCUGAUCCAUGCCGUCGUGGAGCUGACACUCGGAUCGGAAGGGCCACCUGGAAUGAUCUGGUAGCUGAGAUUUAUUGAGUGCUUACUACUCUGUGCCAGGUGCCAGGUGCCAUGCUAAGCACUUGAUUUGCAUUUCCUCAAUCCGAUCCUUACAGAAGUCCCAUUAGGUGGCAGCUCUCUCAUUUUACAGACCAGGAAACUGAGGUUGAGGGGUUAAAUAACUUGUCCAAGUUUCCCCCAGCAGCAGCCCUCAUCAUCCCUCCAAGAUCUAGGUCAUUCGAGCCUCUCAGUGCUCCCCAGUCACCCCCACUGUAGCAUAUAUGGUUGGGCUUUCCAGCUGAUGGUCUGUCUUCCCUUCCCAGACCGUGAGCCCCCUGAAGUAGGGACUAGCGUCUAGAAUGGCACCCAGCAUAUAACAGCUGCCCAACAAAACACGAGUGAGCAAACCUGUCAAAGCUGGUGCCUGGCUCAGUGCCUGGAGCCUCAGAGGCUGUCAGCAUGAGUUUGCAGAAUGAUGGGCAGAGCCAUGCUCCACACACCCUGUGGGGUGUGAGGCCAUCUGUCUCUCUGGAAGGAUGAGAUUCAACGCUGAGUCUGCAGAGCAAAAGGGAUUGAAAUCCUGACUUUCUGCCCUCUUGUCUUUUGGCUGAGAGUUGCCUGUGUCUGAUGAUGAUGAAAAACCUGCACGUAAGGUUGCUGUGAGGAAUAGUAUCUGGGACACGGGUUCCUAAGAACGUUCCCGGCACUGCCCUAAAAGGAAGAAGCGAUGGUGAAAACUCUGACGUGAAACACCAGGCAGGCUGUUGGCACCUUCUCCCUUCCCAGCAGGCUGCCCUUGGCUUCAGCUCUGGAAGCCCAGCGGAUGCUGGGCAGGCAGAUGCUGCCUCCCAGGGGAGUGAGUACUCGAUACAUUUUCUCCCCUUCCAUCCAGCAAGCGAUGUGACAGCCAAAGGAAAAGGUGGGAUGCCAGCCGAGGUCCCAUUUCCAGGGCACCAAGGCCAAUGGGGAAGAAGGCCAGAAGCACGGGCCAGCCCAGCUCUGCCGGGACGCAGCAGGGGUGGGACAGCUCCCCUUGGCCCAGUCAUCCCCAGUGCUCAGCUCUGGAGCCCUCCCCCGGAGCCCUGCCCUGACCACCAGCCUCACGCUGACCAUCGCCCCUCCCCCAUCACUUCCCUUCUUAGCAUCCUGCUUUAUUUCCUUCCGGGACGGAAAUGUACUGGUUUCUUGCCUAAUUCACCCACUGCUGUGUAGGUUCCAUGAGAGGAGAGCUUCGUCCGUCUGUUCCACCUCAGGACUCUGUGCCCAGAAUCCCCGAGCCCUCCUCUGUGUGUCCCAGGCACAGAGCAGGUGCUCCAGAAUACUUGUGGAAUGAAUCGAUGAAUGCCUUUUCCAAAGCAUCCAGCCCAGCGGGAGAUGCUCACUCAUUCUAAGUCGAUGGGACAUAUGAAGAAGAAAAAGCGCUUGUUCCCUAGACGAGCAAA